UACAGAGGUGGCAAGCGUUGUUCGGAAUUACUGGGCGUAAAGGGCGCGUAGGCGGCCCUACUAAGUCAGACGUGAAAUCCCCCCGGCUUAACCUGGGAACUGCGUCUGAUACUGGAAGGCUUGAGGAUGGGAGAGGGAUGUAGAAUUCCCAGGUGUAGCGGUGAAAUGCGCAGAUAUCAGGAGGAACACCGAUGGCGAAGGCAGGUCUCUCGGGCAUUAACUGACGCUGAGGAGCGAAAGCAUGGGGAGCGAACAGG
rnacentral:rRNA from 1 species